rnacentral:rRNA from 1 species
GACGAACGCUGGCGGCGUGCUUAACACAUGCAAGUCGAACGGAAAGGCCCUGCUUUUGUGGGGUGCUCGAGUGGCGAACGGGUGAGUAAAACGUGAGUAACCUGCCCUUGACUUUGGGAUAACUUCAGGAAAAUGGGGCUAAUACCGGAUAGGAGCUCCUGCUGCAUGGUGGGGGUUGGAAAGUUUCGGCGGUUGGGGAUGGACUCGCGGCUUAUCAGCUUGUUGGUGGGGUAGUGGCUUACAAAGGGUUUGACGGGUAGCCGGCCUGGGAGGGUGACCGGCGACAUUGGGACUGAGAGACGGCCCAGACGCGUACGGGAGGCAGCAGGGGGGAAUAUGGCAGAAUGGGCGGAAGCCUGAGGCGGCAACCCCGCGUGCGGGAUAACGUCCUUCGGGUUGUAAACCGCUUUCGCCUGUGACGAAGCGUGAGUGACGGUAAUUGGUAAAGAAGCACCGGCUAACUACGUG